CCCAAAAUACGGUUCACCCACUUUCCCCCUCUACUCCUUUUUCACCAAAACUGAUUCACAUUCCCUUCUUAAUUUCUUCACCUCACUCCUCAAAUUCUUUCAUAUUUGCGCACCUUCUACUUCCCUCCCCAAAUCCAAACAUAUUUCUUGAUAUGGUUUGAUUGAUUCUUAUCUAAUGACUGGUGAUGAUGGUUGUUAUUUGUUAAUUUUUGUCUAUUUGUUGAAUGUGCAUAGGUAUAUAUGACAUAUCAACUUGGCUACUUAGAUGGAUGGUUUGCAAUUUAGCGAAAGUGGAGAGACAACAUGAAGAUUGAAAAGCUUUUCAUGUUUGUCGCUGCUGGAGUUUUUAAGCAACAACAAACGUUGCAAGGUUACAAUUUGGACUGGAUUUGGGCAUGUCCUGUUUAUUUCAGGUACUGUAUGAACCGAAGACCAAUACCUGGAUUAAUUGAAGACCAAUGACCAAUUGGUUCACACUUAAAGUUAAGCGAGUCUAGUAUUGGGUACAUAAUUAUGCCAUAAUGGAGAGAUCCGAAGAAAACAUGAGGUUAUACGCUCAAGUGCCAAGUUAGAAUAUGGUUUCAUAUAAGCUUAACAUAUUGUAUUGAUUUUGGAUAAUUUAGUUCUUUAUUGUGAUAUAUUUGGAUAAGUUGGAAGUUGGAUA